UUUAUACUCCCUCUGUCCCAAAUUUCUUGUCUAGAUACGGAUGUAUCUAAAUACAUCUGUAUCUAGAGAAAUCUAAGACAAGAAUUUUGGGACGGAGAGAGUAUUAU
rfam:Triticum urartu cultivar G1812 contig1204258, whole genome shotgun sequence.